GCCCUGGUGGCGAAAUCGGAUAUCACGCCACGCUUCGAACGUGAGGUUCCGGGUUCGACUCCUGGCCGGGGCA
rnacentral:tRNA from 1 species